AUUGAACGCUGGCGGUAGGCCUAACACAUGCAAGUCGAACGAGUGGCGGACGGGUUGGUAAUGUCUGGGAAACUGCCUGAUGGAUGGGGAUAACUACUGGAAAAGGUCGCUACUAACGCCUACCAUCCGAUAUGCCCAGAUGGGAUUGGCUUGUUGGUGGGGUAACGGCUCACAACGUCGAAGAUCCCUAGCUGGUGUGAGAGGAUGAACAGCCACACGGGAACUGAGACACGGUCCAGACUCCUACGGGAGGCAGCAGUGGGGAAUAUUGCACAAUGGGCGAAAUCCGGAUGCAGCCAGGCCGCGUGUAUGAAGAAGGCCUUCGGGUUGUAAAGUACUUUCAGCGGGGAGGCGUUACCCGCAGAAGAAGCACCGGCUAACUCCGUGCCAGCAGCCGCGGUAAUAC
rnacentral:rRNA from 1 species